AAGCGGACCUCAUAAAGUGCGUCGUAGUCCGGAUUGGAGUCUGCAACUCGACUCCAUGAAGUCGGAAUCGCUAGUAAUCGUGGAUCAGAAUGCCACGGUGAAUACGUUCCCGGGCCUUGUACACACCGCCCGUCACACCAUGGGAGUGGGUUGCAAAAGAAGUAGGUAGCUUAACCUUCGGGGGGGCGCUUACCACUUUGUGAUUCAUGACUGGGGUGAAGUCGUAACAAGGUAACCGUAGGGGAACCUGCGGUUGGAUCACCUCCUUACCUUAAAGAAGC
rnacentral:rRNA from 4 species